rnacentral:rRNA from 1 species
GAUGAACGCUGGCGGCGUGCCUAAUACAUGCAAGUCGAGCGAACAGAUGAGGAGCUUGCUCCUCUGACGUUAGCGGCGGACGGGUGAGUAACACGUGGAUAACCUACCUAUAAGACUGGGAUAACUUCGGGAAACCGGAGCUAAUACCGGAUAAUAUAUUGAACCGCAUGGUUCAAUAGUGAAAGACGGUUUUGCUGUCACUUAUAGAUGGAUCCGCGCCGCAUUAGCUAGUUGGUAAGGUAACGGCUUACCAAGGCAACGAUGCGUAGCCGACCUGAGAGGGUGAUCGGCCACACGGGAACUGAGACACGGUCCAGACUCCUACGGGAGGCAGCAGUAGGGAAUCUUCCGCAAUGGGCGAAAGCCUGACGGAGCAACGCCGCGUGAGUGAUGAAGGUCUUCGGAUCGUAAAACUCUGUUAUUAGGGAAGAACAAAUGUGUAAGUACCUAUGCACGUCUUGACGGUACCUAAUCAGAAAGCCACGGCUAACUACGUG